AUGCCAGCUUGGACAAGCUUGGGAGAUGAGAUGGUGCUUACUAUAACUUACUAUAACUAUAACUUUUGUAUUUUAUCUUUUUAUUUAUUGCAGUUCUUGCUGUGUGGAGGGCUGCACGGAGACACGUUUUCAGCUCAACGCAGACUGUUUUUCUCUUUGGAUUCUGUCGUGGAUCAUUUGCUCUGGAGACAGAAACACUUCACCCCUCAACGUUUGAGAAACAAAAGGUCUUGUUAAUGUUGGUCAGACUGAUUAAAAUUCUUUAAGUCUUAAACCAAUGUUGUGGUUCUUGUUGUCUCACUCAGCAUAAAACAUGAAUAAACAUCUGAUCAUCUUUAAAAAACA